GACGAACGCUGGCGGCGUGCCUAACACAUGCAAGUCGAACGGAGAGAUACGAGAGCUUGCUCUUGUAAAUCUUAGUGGCAAACGGGUGAGUAACGCGUAAACAACCUGCCCAACGGAUGGGGACAACAGACGGAAACGACUGCUAAUACCCAAUAGACUCCGGUUUCGCAUGAAACCGACAGGAAAGGUGGCCUCUCGAAGAAGCUACCGCCGCAGGAGGGGUUUGCGUUUGAUUAGUUAGUUGGUGGGGUAACGGCCUACCAAGACGAUGAUCAAUAGCCGGUCUGAGAGGAUGAACGGCCAAACUGGAACUGAGAACCGGUCCAAACCCCUAAGGGAGGCAGCAGGGGGGAAUCUUCCGAAAUGGACGAAAGUCUGACGGAGAAACGCCGGGGGAGGGAAAAAGGCCUUCGGGUUUUAAAGCUUUUUUUUUGGGGAAGAACGAUUCGUUUGUAAAAAAUGAACGGAAGGGACGGUACCGAAAGAGAAAGCCACGGAUAACUACGU
rnacentral:rRNA from 1 species